rnacentral:rRNA from 1 species
GACGAACGCUGGCGGCGUGCUUAACACAUGCAAGUCGAGCGGAAAGGCCCUGCUUUUGUGGGGUGCUCGAGUGGCGAACGGGUGAGUAACACGUGAGUAACCUGCCCUUGACUUUGGGAUAACUUCAGGAAACUGGGGCUAAUACCGGAUAGGAGCUCCUGCUGCAUGGUGGGGGUUGGAAAUUUUCGGCGGGUGGGGAUGGACUCGCGGCUUAUCAGCUUGUUGGUGGGGUAGUGGCUUACCAAGGCUUUGACGGGUAGCCGGCCUGGGAGGGUGACCGGCCACAUUGGGACUGAGAUACGGCCCAGACUCCUACGGGAGGCAGCAGUGGGGAAUAUUGCACAAUGGGCGGAAGCCUGAUGCAGCAACGCCGCGUGCGGGAUGACGGCCUUCGGGUUGUAAACCGCUUUCGCCUGUGACGAAGCGUGAGUGACGGUAAUGGGUAAAGAAGCACCGGCUAACUACGUG